rnacentral:rRNA from 1 species
CGGGUAGAUCUCCCACCCUUUGUAUACCAUACCUUUGUUGCUUUGGCGGGCCGCCUAGCCACUGGCUUCGGCUGGUAAGUGCCCGCCAGAGGACCCAAAACCCUGAAUAUUAGUGUCGUCUGAGUAAAAUUUUAACAUUUAAAACUUUCAACAACGGAUCUCUUGGCUCUGGCAUCGAUGAAGAACGCAGCGAAAUGCGAUAAGUAAUGUGAAUUGCAGAAUUCAGUGAAUCAUCGAAUCUUUGAACGCACAUUGCGCCCCUUGGUAUUCCGAGGGGCAUGCCUAUUCGAGCGUCAUUAUCACCCCUCAAGCCUAGCUUGGUGUUGGAGCCUGCCUCUGGGCAGCUCUUAAAAUCAGUGGCGGUGCCGUCUGACUCUAAGCGUAGUAAUUUUUCUCGCUACAGAGUCCCGGCGGUUGCUUGCCAACAACCCCAAAUUUUCUAUGGUUGACCUCGGAUCAGGUAGGGAUACCCGCUGAACUUAAGCAUAUCAAUAAGCGGAGGAA